GACGAACGCUGGCGGCGUGCCUAACACAUGCAAGUCGAGCGGAGUCGAUCGACGGAAGCCUUCGGGCGGAAGAUGGUUGACUUAGCGGCGGAUGGGUGAGUAACGCGUGGGCAACCUGCCUCGAAGACCGGGAUAACAGCCCGAAAGGGCUGCUAAUACCGGAUGUGGUCAAAGAUCCGCAUGGAUUUUGAUUAAAGGGGAAACCCGUUUCGAGAUGGGCCCGCGUCCUAUCAGCUAGUUGGUGAGGUAAAAGCUCACCAAGGCGACGACGGGUAGCCGGCCUGAGAGGGUGACCGGCCACACUGGAACUGAGACACGGUCCAGACUCCUACGGGGGGCAGCAGUGGGGAAUCUUCCACAAUGGGCGAAAGCCUGAUGGAGCGACGCCGCGUGAGCGAAGAAGGCCUUCGGGUCGUAAAGCUCUGUCUGGAGGGACGAAGGAAGUGACGGUACCUCCGGAGGAAGCCACGGCUAACUACGUG
rnacentral:rRNA from 1 species